GCGGCCGCUUCCGGUUCCAAUUCGAGGCCUCACCAGCUGGCGCGUGGAGCGGUCGCCACCCGUGCCAGGGCCCGUUUAGACGGCUGGUUUAACGAAUUGGCCUAAUAUGAAUUUGACUUAGAGCUUUUGAACACUACGGGUGCGCGUAUAGAGCCCUCCCUCCCGCACAAUUCCUUCUUGGCUUCGAAUCCAAGAGCAUUGCUGAUCCGAAGGCCAGAAUCAUUACUAGUUAGCAACACCAGCACCGAAGGACCAGCCGCGCUGGAGUAAGUGACCAAGCAGCACUUGGCGUGGACAGGAGGAAAUGUCAUGCUGAUUCCGCACAGGCCAAAAGCUCAGGUGUAUUUUACGCGGAUUUUCUCAACUGGUGACUUCAGCCUUUCUGCAUUUGGCACCUAUUAGGGGCUCUCCAGGGGCCUCCUGCUCCACAGACCCUCCUCCCCGAAGAUACUGCCGUCCAGUCAGGAGGCAAAACAGACACACAAAGGACGAAGGCCGUUCCUGCCCCCAGCCUGGCCCAGGAAGACUUGUGACUUCACAGCCUCAGUUUACCUACCUCAGCGACACUGACACAACCUAUUUGGGAGCCAGAAGACUGUAAACUUAGAGAUCUGUGCAGAGUCCAAGGUUUAUGACGUGAUGAAAUCAAGGAGUUUCCUUACAAACAGCGAAUUGAUACUGCGUGUUUGAGUACGUGAUGUCUUCUCAUUUCGCCAGCAUUUCAGAUGUUUGCAGGCAGUGCUCGGGGGACACAGAGAUGCCCCCAAGGGAGCUGAGAAGCCAGCACCACCCUUUAGGGCUGGCCUUGCACUGGGAGCCAGUGCUGCGCCAAUCAGCAAAGCCAGGGCUAUUUGUGAAGAGUUUGAUGAAGAGUUGAGGACAAGAAUCACUGAGUGUUUAUUCACUGUCCCUUGUGGGUUACACACAAGAAAAAGACAUGGAUUUACCCUCCAGGGGAUGUGUACUUGAUUGGUACAGAUAAAGUACACGGACACAACAUAGUGAGCAGAUAAUGGCUGGUUAGUGCGACCGGAACAAGAGCCAGAUGUUGGGGUCUUGGCUGUAAAUGGCAACGGAAUUCAGAAAACAAGGGGACUAGCUAACCAAUGGAGGCUUCAUCGUUUCUAAGUUGAGUGCACUUGGUUAAUUCUCAAGAGAUCUUCAUGUGGCCGGUGCUGUGGCGGAGCAGGUUAAAGCCCCAGCCUGGGCGCCAGUUUGAGUCCUGGCUGCUCCACUUCCAAUCCAGCUCCCUGCUAAUGUGCCUAGGAAAGCAGCAGAGGAUGGCCCAAGUCCUUGGUACCCCGUACACACGUGGGAGACCUGGAAGAAGCUCCUGGAUCCUGACUUCAGAUUGGCUCAGCUUUGGCUGUUGCAGUCAUUUGGGGAGUGAACCAGCGGAUGGAAGAUCUGUGGGUGUCUCUACCUCUCUCUAUCUCUUUCAAAUAAAAUAAAAAUCUUUUUUUUUUUUUAAAGACAUCUUUAUGUGAUGGGCACCAUCUCACCAAGGAUCAGCUGGAAUCUCAAAGAGGUUAAGUGACUGAUGAACUGCAGGACCCGAGUUCUCACUGGAGUCUCUAGGGCUUUAGGACCCAGCACUCAUAACCGUGGCACAUGAGUGGGUUCUCGUUUGGGGAUCGUGGGUCCAAGCAUCCCCACUCCUCAGUGGUUGGAUUUCUGGAUCGGGGUCAGGAGUGUUUUCCUCGGAGUGUGAUUUGUUCUUGGCAGAAGGCAGCAGCAGGUUGAGAGUGGCUUAGCGAGGCUUCACGACACAAGGGGAGGGUCUCGUGCCGCUCCUCGGUUCAGAGCCUCCCACAGUGUCCCGCACCCUCUGAUGUCCAAGACAGCUUUCGCAGGUGAGCGGGUCUCUGCAGCCUGCUGCGCCGCCGCUUCAUUACCGGAGCUGAGAAGAACAAGAUGGAUCGGAAGCAGAGGGGGAACGAGCACUCGGCUACCUAAUUGGUCACUGCCGCGCGUGUGUCCUCAGGGGACAGAGCGCACAACCAGAGUGUCUCUGUGAUGCACAUGGGACUCAGGAGUGGACUUCAGGAGUGGAGGAUCACUGAAGGACUGACACAGGCGCGCUCACGUGCUCUGAGUUGUGAGACCCUGGAAAAGAAAGGGGCAGAGUCCACGGCAAGACUCUCCGCAGACUGAAGGAAAUGAAUUAACAGCAAAGAAAGGCAUUUGCAAAAUGUGAGGACUCAAGUUGCCCAAGUUAUGUUUCUCUGCCUCGCUACUGAGGUUUUUCUACAGGGACCAAAGUCCAUCAGAGAAUCGCGAUUCCAUCAGGAGAGGUUUAGCUGCCAGGCUGCCACCUCCACAAAUCUCUGACGAAUUCCUGCUUGGAGGAUCCUGAGAAAAGACUUCACUUUCCUUCAAAAGGGUCGACAGUAAAUCCCAGUUGCUCCUAAUUAGGCCUCCUGUUUUGUUAAUUGCUCUGGGAACUCCCUGGAGAGGGUAGAAUGCCUGGGCCCACAGUGGUUUGGCUUCAAGUGUUAGCGAUGGCCCCUUAAGAGCCAGGUCCACGGAGCCGCUGCAAGGGGCCAGCCUCCAGAGCCGCCCUGGAGGGUGUGGGAGCCGGCUGGGCUUGGGGACAGUCAAGCUAAGAGCCGCUGCACACCUGGCUUCCUCCUUGCAUAGAAAGGAAUCUGUAAAAAGUUGCGGGUAACCACAGCCCCGUGAAAUAGUCUUCUGAAAGGUUGCAUUGGCUUACUGGGUUUCAGCACCGCUGUCCAGUCGCGUGCCUCAUUUAGGAAUCGUCCGCACGUGAGUGUUACCACCACCAUCUUCAUCUGCACUGCCGUCCGACUGAGGGCUUCUAAGCCACUUCCAUGUGUGCUAAUAUGCUGUAGCACAUUCGCUUCGCCCCUGGUAGGCACAGCUGGGGCCGUUGUCCUGGAGUCACUUGAAGCUCAGGGGGAGGAGUCCACCGGACAGGAGACAUGAAGAGUCAGUGCUGGAACUGAAACCCAUGUUAUUGUGUUAGCUCCUUAAUGCUAUUCUGAGCUCAGAAAUCUCACUCACUGAAGAUAUAUGAGAAAUAAUUAUGUAGAUCAUAUUCAUAUUAUUAAAGUAUUAAAUAAUAUGUUAUUUACAUUAAGUCUAUAGAGAAUAUUUAUAUUGCAUAUUUCCUAAUUCAACACAUAUUUAUUGAACACCUACUGCGUGUCGGCACCAUUCAAAGUGUGGAUGGUAAAGCACUGAACGCAACAGCAAGGUCUCUGCCACUGAGGAGCUGACCCUCUGCUGGGGGACAAAUUAUAAAAUUAUUAUCGUAAAUUAUAAAAAAUAAGCUGUGAUUUAUCAUGCAAUUUUUAUCAUCCAAACCAUUUCCCUUUUGAGUAUGAAAGAGUUUUAAUAAUUACUCUGGGACAACAGAUACAGACUGGCACUGUCCUGAGCAAAAGUGGACAUCUGGUCACCCUAGGAAUGAAGAAAAACAAGGCUAAUGAAAUCACAGAGGCUGGUGACACAGAAGCAAGAGCCAGAGGCCUGGAUUCCUGUUACCUUGGUUACCUGUUACCUUGGUUAAUCACUUCAGUUGUCUAUGGACCAAUUUUCUCCAACCCCAAAGCAGUUAUCAGCAACCUCGCCUGAGUCACUUGGGGAAAUUCAAGUUCUAUCUGCCGAGUGCAAGGUCUCUGUAGUGAUGCACAGUCUAGAAACUGGGUUCCGGUUCUUGCUCUUCCAGGAAGCCGCAGCAUGUCCCUAGGGAGGUCGUCCUUGGGCCCGAGUUCCAGUCUCUCCAGCCCUUACUGUCAUUCAGCGUUGCCUGAAUUCUGCAGCCGGCGCCUUCUCAGCAGGAAUCCAUUUCCUCGGCUGUGUGGGGUGAGAGGAGUAGCAGCCCCUCUGCCUGUCUCAUCCAGGGGCUGCAAGUGUGAUCACGGCUCUUCAGGCCGAACUAUCCCCCAAGAAAAUACUUGAUCCAGCCUGGGCUUCUCAGGGCAGGGAGGGGAAACACAGUAUUCCUUGCAUUUUACACAAUGAGGUGCGCGGGGCUCACCCAGAGGAGGGGACGCACACCUCUGGUUGGCAGUGCUGAGCUACCAAAAUGAGGUGCGGUGGGAAGGGUGCUCCCCGAGCCGUGCGCACAGCUGCCUCUCCCACCUCUUAGGGCUGCCUUUUAGACUGAUAAAGCCGACAGUCCCUAAAGGUAGAACAAUCGGGGAAGACAUUGUGGUCUUCCCUUAUUACACCUUCAAAUGGGAAAGCCACACCCGUUCCACCACCUCGUGCAGCUACAUUCUGAUUCCAAAGGCACCUGGACUGCCGCAAAGUAGCAAAGUACGUGGGCAAAAGCAAAGCAUUUUCCCAGCAGGAGGGGCUACCAACAAGAGAGGGAGGGACAAAGAGGAGAGGCCUCUCUGGCUGAGGGUGAACCUGCCCACCCGGACUCCCCCUGAGCUCCUGUCCCCCCAACAGGUCCUUUUUUCUCAGUUAUUGGGAGGUGCUAAUGUGCUCCACAUAUGAAAUUCAUAUCAUUUGUGUUUGGCCUCCUCUGCCGUUGGAAGGGUUGCGAGGGGCACCAUUUUAGAAAUUAAUUUGCUGGGUGUCCUGUCUAUCUGUGAGGUGCAGGAGGAGGCCGGCCCGCCCGAGUAUUUAUCAGACACAUGCCGCCCAUCUGCCAGAGCCCGCUCCAGGAGGAUUUGCGGUUAAUCCUUCAGCCCCAUCUGUAGGGGGUUCAAAAUGCUGACCAGGAAGCUAGACAAGAUGAGGUUUAUUUAAUUAGAAAAACGGCUCUGGAGGUUACUAGGAAUCACUGGGAGGAAGGAAGGGCCUCUGGCCGCAGCGCUGUCUCUGGCCAGGGCGGAGCUGAAGGUGGGGAGCAGCGGGCAGAGGUGGUUUUGAGUUGGGCCUGGGGCAGUUUGUUUUGAUUUUUCAGGUGGCUGUGGCCUCCCCCGUGGGGGACGAAAGCUUCCUCCUUGGUCAUGCGUGAACCAGAAUCAGCAGCAGCUUGGACAAUUCCAUGGGAAGUUCAAGGUCACGGGUACAAGAGGUGAUGCGGAGCCACAGAUGACUGCUCUCGGGUUUUCAAGUUUGGAUCCAGACGCACAAUGGUUUAGGAGCUUGGUGAGGCCUGGGCAAGAGGUGGGGCGGCUGAAUCCCUGGCACUUAGGCUCACCUGCCCAGAGGCCAAAAGCAGCUUGGGGCUAACACCGUGAACCUACACUUUAGUCCUCAGAAUUCACCAGAAGAGUCUUGUAACUGGGACUUAUUGCCAUUUGAGAUCCAUUUUUAAGGAAAGGGAAAACAGCAAAAUUGCAUUUCAAUUUUGCUCCAGAUGGAAGAAGCUGUUCCAAACAAACUAACCAGCAAUGGCAGAUUUUCUUUUAUCGUGAAAAUAUCAUCAGCGUCAUUGGUUGCCGCAGGGCUGCCAUUUGGGAGGACGGGGCAGGGGGCCUGUGCGUCUCCCGCUCAGCUGCGGCGGUCAUUUCCUGGCCACAUAAAGCAGGCAAUUUCACUGGAGUGCUCCGAGACCAAUGGUCCCCGCCUGCCUGGGGCGCUCUGCAGUGGUGUCCCUGCUGCCGCCCAGAUUCCGGGACACUGGUCUCCCAGGGAUCCUAUUUUGGAGGCUUGAGCGUUUCCUUUUAUUUUCUUUAAAGGUUAUUGUUAGGGACCAAACACUCACCUGGGAAUAGGUGUUCAAUAAAAACAAUUGUUUGGUAGACUGAACAAAACAUUUAUUUUUUAGAAAUUGACAGCCACUCAGGAGUAUGAAGCCCUGGCCUGGUCUCCAAAUACACUCUGAGUCUCUCCCUCACACUGGGGGACACGUGGUUUGGAGCAGCGUGGGCUCCACGUAGCCUCAACCUUGCCCAUUCGGCUCCCAUUCAGAAUUUCCCAGCAUUCCUUUCUCCUGCCACCGUGGGAACUCCGGCUGACAAAGGACACCAGCAGGCCCAGAAAGGCAAGAGGAAAAUGGCCCUCAGCUGUUUGAACUCAUCAGGGAAAGAGAGCAAGCAGCAGUCACUGCGGAGGGCAUUUGGGGAGACGGCGCCCCUGCUGUACACAGAGGUGUGCAAUGCGCCCUGCACCAAUGGCCUGACCGCAUUUUGAUUUUAACAGUGGACCAAGAGUCCAUGGAGCCAGCGCCGCGGCUCACUAGGCUAAUCCUCUGCCUUGCGGCGCCGGCACACCGGGUUCUAGUCCCGGUCGGGGCGCCGGAUUCUGUCCCGGUUGCCCCUCUUCCAGGCCAGCUCUCUGCUGUAGCCAGGGAGUGCAGUGGAGGAUGGCCCAAGUGCUUGGGCCCUGCACCCCAUGGGAGACCAGGAGAAGUACCUGGCUCCUGCCAUCAGAUCAGCGUGGUGCACCGGCCGCGGCGGCCAUUGGAGGGUGAACCAACGGCAAAGGAAGACCUUUCUCUCUGUCUCUCUCUCUCACUGUCCACUCUGCCUGUCAAAAAAUUAAAAAAAAAAAAAGUGUUCAGAAAUAAAAUUGCAUCUAGUUUAAAAAAAAAAAAAGUCCAUGGAGACUGGGCCUCAGGUAGAACCUCUGACCACCUCGCUGCCUGCACGUCUCCUUCUGUGCCGGCCAACUGGCUACACUGGAAUGCUGAAAGAAAAAUAAAGAAAAGCCCAAAGACUCAGAAUUAAAUUCUAAAAGAGAAGCUACACAGUUGCCGCUUUGCUUUCCCCAUUCAGGGAGAUGUGUACUUUGUUUCUCUUCCGA